UGGCGCGCAGAAAGUAUUGUGUCGUACGUUCUAAAUGUCAAAUUUUUAGUAAUAAUGCCAGAAAUAACUCUGUAUGUAUGAAUGUAAAAUAUACAAUCAUUGGCAACUGUCUCCUCCUAGUGGGGGUGAGUGAGGCACAACGCCAGCAGUCACAUGUUGUGUCUUGUUGAGUGAGGAUCCUCUGUCGACGCGUGCUCUAUUUUUGCUCCGGAAUAUUGCAUUUGUUGCAUCUACUGCACAAUGACAUGUAAGAGGAAGAGUCACAAGAUUAGAGCAGCAAAUCUGGCACUCGUUCGCAGUCUUUAUCAGCAAAAGAAAGUAGCUUUAGCGCAAAGACGAGUAAUAUCAAGGAGAUUGUGGUGGCCUCCCGGCAUCAGCUGUGAGGCGUGACUCGCCCCCUUCUCACUCACCCACCUCGACCCUCCACACACACCCUCCUCGAGUAAUGAGAAUGAUAUAACUGAUUGAUACUUCAGUAGAAAGGAGAAGUUGAUGCAGAAACCAACGACACGCACCACCAAGCCGAGACAAGCUCCUGAGGAAGGUGAUCCCAGCUAUAGGGCAGGUGCCUAUUAGUGCCCAUUGCAGUGCCACCUUGAGGACCCACAAUUCGGACCAAUUACAAUAGGGGAUUUGCAUGGAACUUACGCACCUUGCUGAAUGGAUGCCUAUCUGCAAGGGUGCCAAUUAUGAACGAAAUUGGUAGACGUCAAGCUCGGCUACAGGUGGCCAAACUUUGAUCUUAUUUUACUCAGGGUGUGAUGCUGAAACUUGGACUAGUUGCAGCCCUUUCUAUAACCAUUACAUGAAUAAAUUUUGAAAAAAAUCGAAACAUUUUUUAUUUUCCCGUAAUUAGACUCCCUUCAGUGAUUUGUAUGAUA